rnacentral:rRNA from 1 species
UACGUAGGGGGGCUAGCGUUGUCCGGAAUCAUUGGGCGUAAAGAGCGCGUAGGCGGCUCAGUAAGUCGGGUGUGAAAAACUCCAGGCUCAACCUGGAGACGCCACCUGAUACUGCUGUGGCUAGAGUCCGGUAGGGGGAGCAUGGAAUUCCUGGUGUAGCGGUGAAAUGCGCAGAUAUCAGGAGGAACACCAGUGGCGAAGGCGGUGCUCUGGGCCGGAACUGACGCUGAGGGAAGCGAAAGGCGUGGGGAGCAAA